rnacentral:rRNA from 1 species
UACAUGCAAGUCGAGCGGACAGAUGGGAGCUUGCUCCCUGAUGUUAGCGGCGGACGGGUGAGUAACACGUGGGUAACCUGCCUGUAAGACUGGGAUAACUCCGGGAAACCGGGGCUAAUACCGGAUGGUUGUUUGAACCGCAUGGUUCAAACAUAAAAGGUGGCUUCGGCUACCACUUACAGAUGGACCCGCGGCGCAUUAGCUAGUUGGUGAGGUAACGGCUCACCAAGGCAACGAUGCGUAGCCGACCUGAGAGGGUGAUCGGCCACACUGGGACUGAGACACGGCCCAGACUCCUACGGGAGGCAGCAGUAGGGAAUCUUCCGCAAUGGACGAAAGUCUGACGGAGCAACGCCGCGUGAGUGAUGAAGGUUUUCGGAUCGUAAAGCUCUGUUGUUAGGGAAGAACAAGUACCGUUCGAAUAGGGCGGUACCUUGACGGUACCUAACCAGAAAGCCACGGCUAACUACGUGCCAGCAGCCGCGGUAAUACGUAGGUGGCAAGCGUUGUCCGGAAUUAUUGGGCGUAAAGGGCUCGCAGGCGGUUUCUUAAGUCUGAUGUGAAAGCCCCCGGCUCAACCGGGGAGGGUCAUUGGAAACUGGGGAACUUGAGUGCAGAAGAGGAGAGUGGAAUUCCACGUGUAGCGGUGAAAUGCGUAGAGAUGUGGAGGAACACCAGUGGCGAAGGCGACUCUCUGGUCUGUAACUGACGCUGAGGAGCGAAAGCGUGGGGAGCGAACAGGAUUAGAUACCCUGGUAGUCCACGCCGUAAACGAUGAGUGCUAAGUGUUAGGGGGGUUUCCGCCCCUUAGUGCUGCAGCUAACGCAUUAAGCACU